GACAGAGGGUGCGAACGUUGCUCGGAAUUACUGGGCGUAAAGCGCACGCAGGCGGUUCGCCAAGUUUGGAGUGACAGUUGUCGGCUCAACCGACAAAGGACUUCAAAAACUGGUGAACUUGAGGACGAGAGAGGAACACGGAACUCCAGGUGUAGUAGUGAAAUGCGUAGAUAUCUGGAAGAACACCAAUGGCGAAGGCAAUGUUCUGGCUCGUUUCUGACGCUCAGGUGCGAAAGCCAGGGGAGCGAACGGG
rnacentral:rRNA from 1 species